AUUGAACGCUGGCGGCAUGCCUAACACAUGCAAGUCGAGCGAGCGGCGGGCGGGUGCGUACUGUUUGGGGACUGCCCGUUAGCUGGGGAUAACUACUGGAAACGGUAGCUAAUCCCGCAUACUAUCGGCUUCCCCAUAUGGGAUUAGCUAGUCGGUGGGGUAAUGGCUCACCUAGGCGACGAUCCCUAGCUGGUCUGAGAGGAUGAUCAGACACACUGGGACUGAGACACGGCCCAGACUCCUACGGAGGCAGCAGUGGGGAAUAUUGCACAAUGGGCGCAAGCCGGAUGCAGCCAUGCCGCGUGUAUGAAGAAGGCCUUAGGGUUGUAAAGUACUGUCAGUCGGGAGGCGUUACCGACAGAAGAAGCACCGGCUAACUCCGUGCCAGCAGCCGCGGUAAUAC
rnacentral:rRNA from 1 species